UACGAAGGGGGCUAGCGUUGCUCGGAAUCACUGGGCGUAAAGGGUGCGUAGGCGGGUCUUUUAAGUCAGGGGUGAAAUCCUGGAGCUCAACUCCAGAACUGCCUUUGAUACUGAGGAUCUUGAGUUCGGGAGAGGUGAGUGGAACUGCGAGUGUAGAGGUGAAAUUCGUAGAUAUUCGCAAGAACACCAGUGGCGAAGGCGGCUUAC
rnacentral:rRNA from 1 species